UCCUUCCUCUGCUCUCUUUCAUCCUCGACAAGCACCUCUUGCCCUCUGCCAAUGGCAUCAUCCAAGAACAAAGCCAUCAUCUUUCUCUUGCUCCUCCUAUUCGCUUUCCAUCUAUCCGCCGCGAGGCCUAUCGGACGGCCGAACUCCACCGACGAACUUCCGGUCGCCCUGUCUCUGUCAACUGCACGCCCAUGUCACUCGGCGAUGAUUCCCGCGAAGCAGCAGGGCGCGGAGAGGUACGGGCGCCUCUUCUUCACCAUGCUUCCCAGAGGAAAGACGCCGCCUUCUGGUCCAAGCAAUGGAAUCAAUGGCAGCAAGAAUUAGAUGGAAGGAGGACUCCACUUGAAGCUCUUCUCCUGUUUCUGCUUACAGCAUAUACACAUACACACAUACAAAUCAUUCUACACGUAUCCUCAGUUAUGUAAAAGUAUUUGUCAAGCAUGUAAAUACCAUAGCAAAAGAAAAGGAUAGCUACCUUUCUGGUUGUAUCAGUAUUCUAACAGGUUCGUUUAUAAUGCGAUAUUUUGAUUCAUGAAUGAAUUUGAGUUGCAGACUGGUCAACUUUUACAUUUCUUUUGUUCAUUGUACUUCCUAUAUAUGUGUAGUUAUGAUAGUUGGUGGAAAUAGGAUCAUUGAUGUUGGAACAAAGAGAAGCAGAAUCGAGCAUUGAGAUGAAGUUAAAAUUGACAUUGUAGAGCAUGAACAAUUGGAACCAGCCAGCCCAGGGGAGGACCAUUCAGGGAAGGCAGUGAGAGGAUCGAUGUGACCUACAUGGGGAAUUAGGUGGCCAAUCUCAUGCUGCUGUCGAGUUACCCUCCUCAUAACUUUGGUCAACAUGUGUUUGG
rnacentral:lncRNA from 1 species